UAGUCCGGCUACUAUACUCUUAUGAGUACGUUCGCCCUCGUAUUUAUAAGUCGUUUUCGGUAAUAAAGCUUUCGAAUCGAUGAUUCAUACCGUUAAACAUUAUCUAAAGCAUUUAAAAUUUUUAAAAAUCAAAUUUUAUAAUUUUUUGACAUUAUUUAUCUUACAAUCAAAAGGUCACAAAAUUGACAGUUUUUAACGGGUAUAGGAUACUUGGUAGUUUAACGGUGUAGAAGAAUUGGAAUCGGUUGAAUUUUUGAUAGAAAAUUCUAUUCACUACUUAGAAAAAGAUUAAUAACUCCGGUCUUAAAUUGAAUGAUCCGAUCAUCCAUUUUUAGGAUAUCGUUCAAUUUCGACCGUUCAUUUUAUACCCACUUGAUGGACUUUAUUAUGAUUUCGAAAACUUACAAAAUUUAUUUUCUAGAAGUUUCAAAUACUCUAUAUCAUAUUUUAUGGAGUGGAUUGUCGAUUCGGAAGCACCAUCAUCGAAAACAAGUUAUGAGUAUGAAGGACUCUAUACUCAUAAGAGUAUAUUAGUCCUACUCUCUCCCUCUCUCUCUCUCUCUCUCUCUCUCUCUCUAUAUAUAUAUAUAUAUAUAUAUAUAAUUUAGCUAGAAUAUUUUUAGAAGCAUCUAUCCCUUGGUGCUUCUAGGUUUUUAGCCGUUGGAUCUACUAUUUCAUUACUAAUAACCUUUGGAUCAAACACUAUUUCACCUACCACCACCUACCACCAUCAUCUUCAUCCUACAUCUCUCCAUCCAAUGGCUAAAAACUCAAAAGUACCACUCUCUUGGUGCUUUUGAGAGUAUUCUAGUUCAACUCUCUCUCUCUCUCUCUAUAUAUAUAAUUCUGUUAUGAUACUUUUAAAAGUAUAAGUACUCGAUGAUUGUAAUUUUUUCAUUGUUAGAUGAUUAAAUCUAUUCAUUUGAUCAUUUUUAUUCAUUAGAUCAUACUAAUUAACCAACUACUCACUCAAUUUUAAAAGAUCACUAUUAUUCUAAUCGCACAUUCCUUAAUUUAAGGGUCGAAAACUUACAAACACCAAUAAUUUGUUACUUUUAAAAAUGUAAAAACUCAAUUAUAUAAUAAUAAUAAUAAUAAUAAUAAUAAGUUGUUAACUUGCUUUUUCCUGUAUUACUUUACCUAAAGUUAAUACCCAUAAAUGACUAAAUAAGAAUUGAGCUAAAAUACUUUUAGAAGCACCAAAAAAAUAGUGCUUUCAAGUUUUUAGCAAUUGGAUCUAGUCCUUGAUUAUUAAUAGUUUUUGAAUCAAAUACUAUUCCACCUACCACCACCCACCAUCAUCUCAAUUCUAUAUUUUUUUUUUCAAAAAUUAAAAACUAAAAAACACCAUUUUUUUUUGUGCGUUUGGAAGUAUUCUAACUCAACUCGACUAGAUAAUAUAGUCAAUAAUAGAUCAUGAAACAAUAAUACACACCAAC
rnacentral:lncRNA from 1 species